UACGGAGGGUGCGAGCGUUGUCCGGAAUCAUUGGGCGUAAAGGGCGCGUAGGUGGCCCGGUCAGCGUGCGGUGAAAGCUCGGGGCUCAACCCCCGAGUCGGCCGUGCGAACUGCUGGGCUUGAGCACUGUAGAGGCAGGCGGAAUUCCGGGGUGUAGCGGUGGAAUGCGUAGAGAUCCGGAAGAACACCGGUGGCGAAGGCGGCCUGCUGGGCAGUGGCUGGACACUGAGGCGCGACAGCGUGGGGGAGCAAAACAGG
rnacentral:rRNA from 1 species